rnacentral:rRNA from 1 species
GCGGGAAAGGUUGGAAAUAGUGUCGCGGNAACGGUCGCCCUGUANGGGGGGAGAAUAACUAUGACGUAGCUAAUACCGCAUAACGUCGCAAGACCAAAGAGGGGACUUUCGGGCUCUGCAUCAGAUGUGCCCAAUGGAAUUAGCUAGUUAGGUGGGGUAAACGGUUCAACUUAAGGCGAAUGAAUCCUUAAGUUGGGUCCUGGAAGAAGGAUUGAACAAGCAAAAUCUGGAAANCUGGAGAACACCGGUCCAAGAAUUCNUAGGGAAGGCAACAAGUUGGGGAAUUUCUCGGCCCAAUGGGGCGCAAGCNUGGAUGGCAGGCAUUGGCCGGGGUGUCUGAGGAAAGGCCUUCCGGGUUGGUAAAGUACUUCCAAGCNGGGGAGGAAGGUGUGGUGGUCAAUUACCCACGACGCAAUUGGAACGNUUACCCGCAGAAAGAAGGCACCGGGUUAAUUCCCGUGGCNAGCAAGCCCGGCGGUAAUUCACCCGGAAAGGGGUUGGCCAAAGCCGUUUAACUUCGGGGAAUUNACUGGGGGCACGUUAAACGCGGCACGCCAGGCCGAGUUCCUGGGUCCACAAGUCCCGGANUGCUGGAAAUAU